rnacentral:rRNA from 1 species
UACGAAGGGAGCUAGCGUUGUUCGGAAUCACUGGGCGUAAAGCGCACGUAGGCGGAUGUGUCAGUCAGGGGUGAAAUCCCGGAGCUCAACUUCGGAACUGCCUUUGAUACAGCACAUCUGGAGUCCGGAAGAGGUGGGUGGAAUUCCUAGUGUAGAGGUGAAAUUCGUAGAUAUCCGGAGGAACACCGGUGGCGAAGGCGGCUUCCUGGACCGACACUGACGCUGAGGCGCGAAAGCUAGGGGAGCAAACGGG